UACGUAGGGUCCGAGCGUUGUCCGGAUUCAUUGGGCGUAAAGAGCUCGUAGGCGGUUUGUCGCGUCUGCUGUGAAAACCUGAGGCUCAACCUCGGGCUUGCAGUGGGUACGGGCAGACUAGAGUGCGGUAGGGGUGACUGGAAUUCCUGGUGUAGCGGUGGAAUGCGCAGAUAUCAGGAGGAACACCGAUGGCGGAGGCAGGUCACUGGGCCGCAACUGACGCUGAGGAGCGAAAGCAUGGGGAGCGAACAGG
rnacentral:rRNA from 1 species